rnacentral:rRNA from 1 species
GGAAAAGAAAUCAACCGAGAUUCCCCCAGUAGCGGCGAGCGAACGGGGAGCAGCCCAGAGCCUGAAUCAGUGUGUGUGUUAGUGGAAGCGUCUGGAAAGGCGUGCGAUACAGGGUGACAGCCCCGUACACAAAAAUGCACAUACUGUGAGCUCGAUGAGUAGGGCGGGACACGUGGUAUCCUGUCUGAAUAUGGGGGGACCAUCCUCCAAGGCUAAAUACUCCUGACUGACCGAUAGUGAACCAGUACCGUGAGGGAAAGGCGAAAAGAACCCCGGCGAGGGGAGUGAAAAAGAACCUGAAACCGUGUACGUACAAGCAGUGGGAGCACGCUUAGGCGUGUGACUGCGUACCUUUUGUAUAAUGGGUCAGCGACUUAUAUUCUGUAGCAAGGUUAACCGAAUAGGGGAGCCGAAGGGAAACCGAGUCUUAACUGGGCGUUAAGUUGCAGGGUAUAGACCCGAAACCCGGUGAUCUAGCCAUGGGCAGGUUGAAGGUUGGGUAACACUAACUGGAGGACCGAACCGACUAAUGUUGAAAAAUUAGCGGAUGACUUGUGGCUGGGGGUGAAAGGCCAAUCAAACCGGGAGAUAGCUGGUUCUCCCCGAAAGCUAUUUAGGUAGCGCCUCGUGAAUUCAUCUCCGGGGGUAGAGCACUGUUUCGGCAAGGGGGUCAUCCCGACUUACCAACCCGAUGCAAACUGCGAAUACCGGAGAAUGUUAUCACGGGAGACACACGGCGGGUGCUAACGUCCGUCGUGAAGAGGGAAACAACCCAGACCGCCAGCUAAGGUCCCAAAGUCAUGGUUAAGUGGGAAACGAUGUGGGAAGGCCCAGACAGCCAGGAUGUUGGCUUAGAAGCAGCCAUCAUUUAAAGAAAGCGUAAUAGCUCACUGGUCGAGUCGGCCUGCGCGGAAGAUGUAACGGGGCUAAACCAUGCACCGAAGCUGCGGCAGCGACGCUUAUGCGUUGUUGGGUAGGGGAGCGUUCUGUAAGCCUGUGAAGGUGUGCUGUGAGGUAUGCUGGAGGUAUCAGAAGUGCGAAUGCUGACAUAAGUAACGAUAAAGCGGGUGAAAAGCCCGCUCGCCGGAAGACCAAGGGUUCCUGUCCAACGUUAAUCGGGGCAGGGUGAGUCGACCCCUAAGGCGAGGCCGAAAGGCGUAGUCGAUGGGAAACAGGUUAAUAUUCCUGUACUUGGUGUUACUGCGAAGGGGGGACGGAGAAGGCUAUGUUGGCCGGGCGACGGUUGUCCCGGUUUAAGCGUGUAGGCUGGUUUUCCAGGCAAAUCCGGAAAAUCAAGGCCGAGGCGUGAUGACGAGGCACUACGGUGCUGAAGCAACAAAUGCCCUGCUUCCAGGAAAAGCCUCUAAGCAUCAGGUAACAUCAAAUCGUACCCCAAACCGACACAGGUGGUCAGGUAGAGAAUACCAAGGCGCUUGAGAGAACUCGGGUGAAGGAACUAGGCAAAAUGGUGCCGUAACUUCGGGAGAAGGCACGCUGAUACGUAGGUGAAGCGACUUGCUCGUGGAGCUGAAAUCAGUCGAAGAUACCAGCUGGCUGCAACUGUUUAUUAAAAACACAGCACUGUGCAAACACGAAAGUGGACGUAUACGGUGUGACGCCUGCCCGGUGCCGGAAGGUUAAUUGAUGGGGUUAGCGCAAGCGAAGCUCUUGAUCGAAGCCCCGGUAAACGGCGGCCGUAACUAUAACGGUCCUAAGGUAGCGAAAUUCCUUGUCGGGUAAGUUCCGACCUGCACGAAUGGCGUAAUGAUGGCCAGGCUGUCUCCACCCGAGACUCAGUGAAAUUGAACUCGCUGUGAAGAUGCAGUGUACCCGCGGCAAGACGGAAAGACCCCGUGAACCUUUACUAUAGCUUGACACUGAACAUUGAGCCUUGAUGUGUAGGAUAGGUGGGAGGCUUUGAAGUGUGGACGCCAGUCUGCAUGGAGCCGACCUUGAAAUACCACCCUUUAAUGUUUGAUGUUCUAACGUGGACCCGUGAUCCGGGUUGCGGACAGUGUCUGGUGGGUAGUUUGACUGGGGCGGUCUCCUCCUAAAGAGUAACGGAGGAGCACGAAGGUUGGCUAAUCCUGGUCGGACAUCAGGAGGUUAGUGCAAUGGCAUAAGCCAGCUUGACUGCGAGCGUGACGGCGCGAGCAGGUGCGAAAGCAGGUCAUAGUGAUCCGGUGGUUCUGAAUGGAAGGGCCAUCGCUCAACGGAUAAAAGGUACUCCGGGGAUAACAGGCUGAUACCGCCCAAGAGUUCAUAUCGACGGCGGUGUUUGGCACCUCGAUGUCGGCUCAUCACAUCCUGGGGCUGAAGUAGGUCCCAAGGGUAUGGCUGUUCGCCAUUUAAAGUGGUACGCGAGCUGGGUUUAGAACGUCGUGAGACAGUUCGGUCCCUAUCUGCCGUGGGCGCUGGAGAACUGAGGGGGGCUGCUCCUAGUACGAGAGGACCGGAGUGGACGCAUCACUGGUGUUCGGGUUGUCAUGCCAAUGGCACUGCCCGGUAGCUAAAUGCGGAAGAGAUAAGUGCUGAAAGCAUCUAAGCACGAAACUUGCCCCGAGAUGAGUUCUCCCUGACCCUUUAAGGGUCCUGAAGGAACGUUGAAGACGACGACGUUGAUAGGCCGGGUGUGUAAGCGCAGCGAUGCGUUGAGCUAACCGGUACUAAUGAACCGUGAGGCUUAACCUUACAACGCCGAAG